rnacentral:misc_RNA from 1 species
AACGCACGAGACCUGCGGACCUGCGGAAGGAUCAUUAAUGAGAAACUGCCCCUCGCGGGUAGAUCUCCCACCCUUUGUAAACUUACCUUUGUUGCUUUGGCAGGCCCGUCUCCGGACCGCCGGCUUCGGCUGGCCAGUGCCUGCCAGAGGAUUCUAAAACUCUGUCUGUCAGUGUUGUCUGAGUCUAUAUACAAUCGUUAAAACUUUUAGCAAUGGAUCUCUAGAUCGGAAGAGCACACG